UACGAAGGGGGCUGGCGUUGUUCGGAAUUACUGGGCGUAAAGCGUGCGCAGGCGGCUUCUCAAGUCAGGGGUGAAAGCCCAGAGCUCAACUCUGGAAUUGCCUUUGAGACUGAGAGGCUUGAGUACGGGAGAGGUGAGUGGAAUUCCCAGUGUAGAGGUGAAAUUCGUAGAUAUUGGGAAGAACACCAGUGGCGAAGGCGGCUCACUGGACCGUAACUGACGCUCAUGCACGACAGCGUGGGGAUCAAACAGG
rnacentral:rRNA from 1 species